rnacentral:rRNA from 1 species
AACGAACGCUGGCGGCAUGCCUAACACAUGCAAGUCGAACGAAACCUUCGGGUCUAGUGGCGCACGGGUGCGUAACGCGUGGGAACCUGCCCUUAGGUUCGGAAUAACUCCUCGAAAGGGGUGCUAAUACCGGAUAAUGUCUUCGGACCAAAGAUUUAUCGCCUUUGGAUGGGCCCGCGUUGGAUUAGCUAGUUGGUAGGGUAAAAGCCUACCAAGGCGACGAUCCAUAGCUGGUCUGAGAGGAUGAUCAGCCACACUGGGACUGAGACACGGCCCAGACUCCUACGGGAGGCAGCAGUGGGGAAUAUUGGACAAUGGGCGAAAGCCUGAUCCAGCAAUGCCGCGUGAGUGGUGAAGGCCUUAGGGUUGUAAAGCUCUUUUACCCGGGAUGAUAAUGACAGUACCGGGAGAAUAAGCCCCGGCUAACUCCGUG